AUUGAACGCUGGCGGCAGGCCUAACACAUGCAAGUCGAACGAGUGGCGGACGGGUGAGUAAUGUCUGGGCAACUGACUGAUGGAGGGGGAUCACUACUGGGAACGGUAGCUCAUACCGCCUUCCAUCAGAUGUGCCCAGGUGGGAUUAGCUAGUUGUCGGGGUAACGGCUAACCAAGGCGACGAUCCCUAGCUGGUCUGAGAGGAUGACAAGCCACACUGGAACUGAGACACGGUCCAGACUCCUACGGGAGGCAGCAGUGGGGAAUAUUGCACAAUGGGCGAAAGCCUGAUGCAGCCAUGCCGCGUGUAUGAAGAAGGCCUUCGGGUUGUAAAGUACUUUCAGCGGGGAGGCGUUACCCGCAGAAGAAGCACCGGCUAACUACGUGCCAGCAGCCGCGGUAAUUC
rnacentral:rRNA from 1 species